rnacentral:rRNA from 1 species
GACGAACGCUGGCGGCGUGCUUAACACAUGCAAGUCGAGCGGUAAGGCCCUUUCGGGGGUACGACGAGCGGCGAACGGGUGAGUAACACGUGGGUGACCUGCCCUCAGCUCUGGGAUAAGCCUGGGAAACCGGGUCUAAUACUGGAUAUGACUCCAUGACGCAUGUUGUGGGGUGGAAAGCCUUGUGCGGCUGAGGAUGGGCCCGCGGCCUAUCAGCUUGUUGGUGGGGUGAUGGCCUACCAAGGCGACGACGGGUAGCCGGCCUGAGAGGGCGACCGGCC